AUUGAACGCUGGCGGCAUGCCUUACACAUGCAAGUCGAACGGUAACGCGGGGCAACCUGGCGACGAGUGGCGAACGGGUGAGUAACGCAUCGGAACGUGCCCAGUAGUGGGGAUAGCCCGGCGAAAGCCGGAUUAAUACCGCAUACGACCUACGGGUGAAAGGGGGGGAUCGCAAGACCUCUCGCUAUUGGAGCGGCCGAUGUCAGAUUAGGUAGUUGGUGGGGUAAAGGCCUACCAAGCCGACGAUCUGUAGCUGGUCUGAGAGGACGACCAGCCACACUGGGACUGAGACGCGGCCCAGACUCCUACGGGGGGCAGCAGUGGGGAAUUUUGGACAAUGGGCGAAAGCCUGAUCCAGCCAUGCCGCGUGCGGGAAGAAGGCCUUCGGGUUGUAAACCGCUUUUGUCAGGGAAGAAAUCUUCUGGGUUAAUACCUCGGGAGGAUGACGGUGCCUGAAGAAUAAGCACCGGCUAACUACGUGCCAGCAGCCGCGGUAA
rnacentral:rRNA from 1 species